UAGAUACCCCAGUAGUCCUAGCAGUAAAUGAUGGAGACUAGGUGUUGCCUGUAUCGACCCGGGCAGUGCAGAAGCCAACGCGUUAAGUCUCCCGCCUGGGGAGUAUGCACGCAAGUGUGAAACUCAAAGGAAUUGACGGGGGCCCGCACAAGCGGUGGAGUAUGUGGUAUAAUUCGAUGCAUACGCGAAGAACCUUACCAGGGCUUGACAUCCCGCGAAUCCCCGGCGAAAGUUGGGAGUGCGUACGGGAGCGCGGAGACAGGUGGUGCAUGGCUGUCGUCAGCUCGUGUCGUGAGAUGUUGGGUUAAGUCCCGCAACGAGCGCAACCCUCGUCCUUAGUUGCCAGCCUUAAGUGGGGCACUAUAGGGAGACUGCCGGUGAUAAACCGGAGGAAGGUGGGGAUGACGUCAAGUCAUCAUGCCCCAUAUGUCGUGGGCGACACACGUACUACAAUGGUCGUGACAGCGAGCAGCCAACUCGCGAGAGUGAGAUAAUCUCUCAAACCCGGCCUCAGUUCAGAUCGCAGGAUGCAACUCGCCUGCAUGAAGGAGGAAUCGAUAGUAAUCGCAGGUCAGCAUAAUGCGGUGAAUCCGUUCCCGGGCCUUGUACACACCGCCCGUCACACCAUGGAAGUCGGCCAUGCCCGAAGUCAUUACUCUAACCGUUCGCGGAGGAGGGUGCCGAAGGCAGGGCUGAUGACUGGGGUGAAGUCGUAACAAGGUAGCCGUACCGGAAGGUGUGGCUGGAUCACCU
rnacentral:rRNA from 1 species